rnacentral:rRNA from 1 species
UUUCCUACGGGGGGCAGCAGUGGGGAAUAUUGCACAAUGGGGGGAACCCUGAUGCAGCGACGCCGCGUGGGUGAGGAAGUACUUCGGUAUGUAAAGCCCUAUCAGCAGGGAAGAAAAUGACGGUACCUGACUAAGAAGCCCCGGCUAACUACGUGCCAGCAGCCGCGGUAAUACGUAGGGGGCAAGCGUUAUCCGGAUUUACUGGGUGUAAAGGGUGCGUAGGUGGCAGGGCAAGUCAGAUGUGAAAGCCCGGGGCUCAACCACGGUACAGCAUUUGAGACUGACCAGCUGGACUGCAGGAGAGG